UGUUCGGCAAUGAACUCGAUC
rnacentral:piRNA from 1 species